AAUACUCUAUAUGCCGGGAGGUAAAAGGAUCUAUCCACCUUAGGAAGAGCUCGCGUCUGAUUAGCUAGUUGGUAAGGUAAUGGCUUACCAAGGCGACGAUCAGUAGCUGGUUUGAGGGGACGACCAGCCACACUGGGACUGAGACACGGCCCAGACUCCUACGGGAGGCAGCAGUGGGGAAUUUUCCGCAAUGGGCGAAAGCCUGACGGAGCAAUACCGCGUGAGGGAUGACGGCCUGUGGGUUGUAAACCUCUUUUCUCAAGGAAGAAGUUCUGACGGUACUUGAGGAAUAAGCAUCGGCUAACUCUGUGCCAGCAGCCGCGGUAAUACAGAGGAUGCAAGCGUUAUCCGGAAUCACUGGGCAUAAAGCGUCUGUAGGUUGCUUGCCAAGUCUGCUGUUAAAGACUAGGGCCUAACCCUGGGAAAGCAGUGGAAACUAGCAGGCUUGAGUGUGGUAGAGGUAGAGGGAAUUCCUGGUGUAACGGUGGAAUGCGUAGAUAUUAGGAAGAACACCAAUGGCGAAAGCACUCUGCUGGGCCACAACUGACACUGAGAGACGACAGCUAGGGGAGCAAAUGGGAUUAGAUACCCCAGUAGUC
rnacentral:rRNA from 1 species